AUGAAAUGGAGUUUAACGUCCUACUGUUCUGCUCCUAACCUGGGCUAAUGAAGACGGGCAUACGCCAUACAGUGUGCUAUGAGGGAAAUUUUGCCCGGACAGCGGUACUACGGCCUACUCUUAUAUCGAAUUCCAACUGCCAAGGGAUCUUUUACGUGCACACCAAUGUGUACACGGGACCUCGGUUUUUCGUCCCAUCCGAACGACUAGACAGCUUUCCUUGUCAGCCCCUCCGUCCUGCAUCACUGACAAGGGAGAACCACGCCGGAAAAUCUGAAUGAACUUUCUCGGCUAAUGCAGGGAUCGAACACCCGACCUCCAGGCUAGCGAGCCAGCGUCUUACCCACUUAGCCACGUGAUCCCCUCCAUCACUUGUGUAUUAUAUUAAGAUUAUAUAGUAUUCUGCAUGUAAAUUAUUUAUUUAAAUACAUAGAACCAAUUUGAACCUCACAUGUGCGAACCCACUGAACCCCAUACGUUAUUGAUCUACGAUAUAAGAUAUACUGUCCACCACACAUAUGUACACGUCCACUACUCACGCAUUUAAUUACGGACCUAAUAAUUUUCACAUGUUGUGAUAAGGCUCUUGAUUAAAUAGAAUUUACACAGUUAGCUAUACGAUAUAAGACCCCGUAGUAGAGACGGCGAGUGACGAUAAGAAGGCGAGGAGAGAGAUGUUUGGACAGACUUGGUUAGAGGAGCAGAGAGGGGCGUAUGGAUUCACCCGGGUUCAGCCGCUGCCGGUGCAGAAGGGCGGAAUGAAAUUCCAACAUCGAGUAAACGGAAAUGUCUACUGGAGAACAGACAGCCCUGUUUGACUUAUAAAAUAUAAAACCACUACCAAUAUUUUGUGAAGUACGCAAUCAUGAGAAGAAAAAUUCAAAAACAAUCGUCUAUCAAAAAAGGAAAAACAAUUACUCUGCCUAAAAUCGUAACGCCGGAUGCAGAAAAACACGUGACAUUAGAGGAGAAAACAAAUGUGACGGGUCGAGUUAAAAUGGCGAGAGAAAAAUCGGUAGAGACAUCAUCAGAUACUAAAAUAACUUCGGUACUGACGAAUAUUAAAUGGUCAGAUGACAGAACGUCUAAAGACAUUAUUAAUCAGUUGUUUGAUGCCUGGUUACCCCAGCUGUCGUCAUCCUACAGACCCCACGCCCGUUAUGUACCCACUCCAGCAAAAGUUCAGCCCACGCCUAGUUCUAAACAAUCUAGUAGGCAGAGUUCCAUAUCCAAGUUUCAAUUAGCAGUAUAUGCGGGACGAUUCAGAACAGCAGAACGAGUUGUAGAAACGUGUAAUCAUUUCCAACGUGGUCGCGGAAAUAACAAUAAAUAACACGAGAACUGCGAUGCAGUGAUGGCGGGUUUCACCGUUGCUACGUUACCCCGUUACUUCCCGUACCAAUGGAACCGCUAAACAAAUUACCACAUGGGCAUUGCACACGUGUUAUAAAAUGGACGCAGAAGUAGCCAAUGAAUCCAGCAAUAUCAGUUCCAUUUUUAUUUUUGUUACUCUCAACACGAUGGCACCACUUUCGUUAUCAACACUUAAUAGGAUUUCAGAAAUAACGACUUCCAUCUUUGCCUGACAGAAAAUGGAUUAAAAUUUGGAGAGAAUUAAUCUUUAAAAAGCCUUUUAUUAAAUGACGAAAAAUCAUUUAAAAAAAACUCAUUUAUCUUAAAUGUAGUUUAAGACAAUUUUUUUAUUUCGUACAAAUCUUACAGCAAUCUAAGAAGAUGGCGUGACGUCAUGCACUCAUGAUCCGGGCUACUUUCCUACGUUACGUUGGAUAAUAUUUCUUUAGUUGAUUAAAAUGGUUUGUUAGUCGUGUGCCAUGGUAAUUGUGACAAAAAAAUACAACAUAUAAACACACU